rnacentral:rRNA from 1 species
AAUGGAGGAAACUCUGAUGCAGCAACGCCGCGUGGAGGACGAAGGUUUUCGGAUUGUAAACUCCUGUCUUUUGGGACGAUAAUGACGGUACCAAAAGAGGAAGCCACGGCUAACUACGUGCCAGCAGCCGCGGUAAUACGUAGGUGGCGAGCGUUGUCCGGAAUUACUGGGCGUAAAGGGCGCGUAGGCGGCCUGUUAAGUCAGAUGUGAAACCCCCAGGCUCAACUUGGGGAUUGCAUAUGAAACUGAUGGGCUCGAGUGUCGGAGAGGAAAGCGGAAUUCCUAGUGUAGCGGUGAAAUGCGUAGAUAUUAGGAGGAACACCAGUGGCGAAGGCGGCUUUCUGGACGAUAACUGACGCUGAGGCGCGAAAGCGUGGGGAGCAAA